rnacentral:rRNA from 1 species
UUAGCUAGUUGGUGGGGUAAUGGCCUACCAAGGCGACGAUCCGUAGCUGGUCUGAGAGGAUGAUCAGCCACACUGGGACUGAGACACGGCCCAGACUCCUACGGGAGGCAGCAGUGGGGAAUAUUGGACAAUGGGCGCAAGCCUGAUCCAGCAAUGCCGCGUGGGUGAAGAAGGCCUGCGGGUUGUAAAGCCCUUUCGUCCGGG